rnacentral:rRNA from 9 species
GACCUCGGAUCAGGUAGGACUACCCGCUGAACUUAAGCAUAUCAAUAA